AGUGAACGCUGGCGGUAGGCCUAACACAUGCAAGUCGAACGGCAGCACAGUAAGAGCUUGCUCUUACGGGUGGCGAGUGGCGGACGGGUGAGGAAUACAUCGGAAUCUACUUUUUCGUGGGGGAUAACGAGGGAAACUUACGCUAAUACCGCAUACGACCUACGGGUGAAAGCAGGGGAUCUUCGGACCUUGCGCGAUUGAAUGAGCCGAUGUCGGAUUAGCUAGUUGGCGGGGUAAAGGCCCACCAAGGCGACGAUCCGUAGCUGGUCUGAGAGGAUGAUCAGCCACACUGGAACUGAGACACGGUCCAGACUCCUACGGGAGGCAGCAGUGGGGAAUAUUGGACAAUGGGCGCAAGCCUGAUCCAGCCAUACCGCGUGGGUGAAGAAGGCCUUCGGGUUGUAAAGCCCUUUUGUUGGGAAAGAAAAGCAGCAGGUUAAUACCCCGCUGUUCUGACGGUACCCAAAGAAUAAGCACCGGCUAACUUCGUG
rnacentral:rRNA from 1 species